GCGGCAGCGUGACGGGCGCACGCCCUCGCCCGGCCCGUCGGCGGAGCCGACCUGGGGAGAGGGGAGUUACGCGG
rnacentral:tRNA from 1 species